rnacentral:lncRNA from 1 species
CAGGAAAGGGCCCUGACAAGAGGAUGGGACUGCAGUUGUGGCUGCCAGGAACAGGGCCCCGGCCAGGGUGAAAACAAGGAACAUUCCAGAGAAGAUCACAAGGAUGCGAAUAAAAUCGGAGCUGCACAGGGAUCUUUGGGCUGUAAUAGGAGGGGACACACAGGGGUUAGGGGAGGGUCUAGCCCUUGGCUCCCUCAGCCCAGCCCUCCUGUCACCUUGCCUCUCCCCUUUCCCCCACCUUAUUCUAUCCCACCCGCCACCGUUGGCCAACUCCUCUCCUAAACAGUGGACUCUGCUUUUUCCCCUCCUCUUAUCCCUAAUCCUAGGAGCUUUCUGUCUGGCUUCCCUCCUGGCCCCUCGUGUAUGCAUUCUCUCUAGCGGUGGGGAUUAAGGAGAAAACUCACGUGGCCAGUGGGUAGAGAGAGUCCGGGCAGGCAGCUGCCUGAAGUCAGCCAGAGUCUGCAUGUGCCCAGCUGUCCUGGCCUCCAGCAUCUCUGGAAAAACAGAGACAGAAUGAGUAGCAGCAGGGGACCCCAUAGGGCACAUCUGAAGGCCUGAGAGGUGCUGGAUGGGAUGGGAAGGCAGAAACAGGCUGACCUUAUCUAGGGGUAGGAGUGGGGAGUACUGGUUGGGGUAUCACCGCUACCCCACGUGAUGGCACAGAGAGUUGCCUGGAACUUACCACUGACAUAAGAGUCUUGCUUUGUCGCCCAGGUUGGAGUGCAGUGGCACGAUCUCGGCUCAGUGCAACCUCCGCCUCCUGAGUUCAAGUGAUUCUCCUGCCUCAGCCUCCCUAGUAGCUGGGAUUACAGGACAAGGAGAGGGACAAAUUCCUUCUUGGCAUCCUUAUGGCCCUGUGACCUGCUAAUGAAUGCUGACUCUGAGUUGCUACUAGAAUUUGGUUUCCUUGUGGCUUCCCAGGAAUUGGUCUCACUCUGCUCACUCUGUCUCCCAAGCUGGAGUGCAGUGGUACAGUCACGGCUCACUGCAGCCUCCACUUCCUGGACUCAAGUGAUCUUCUCACUUCAGCCUUCUGAGUAGCUGGGACUACAGCCCCCUCUGCAGCUCUUCAUGGGGGUCCACUCAAGUCAGAAGCCACAUUUGGGUGUGAUUCAGAGAGCUGUUUAUGCAAAACCAGCUUUGUCACCAUCAGGCAAGGCACCUGAAUUCCCACCGCAGAGAGUGUUGUGGCCGUGAGGACUUUUCUGUCACCAGCCAUUUCCAGGUAGACCCAGUGUAAUCACAAGCAUCCUUGUAAGUGGCAAAGAGGCAGAGGAGACAGCGCCAGAGAGGCAGCUGCAUGAGAAGGAUCAAGAUGUUGCUGACUUUGAAGUUGGAAGAAGAAGGCCAUGAGCCUCAGUAUGUGGGCGGCUUCUAGAAGCUGGAAGGGGCAAGGAGAUGGAUUUGACCCUUCAGCCUCCAGGGGCAGCUGUACCUGCCAUCACUGAUUGUAGCCUGGUGAGGCCUGUUUUAGACUUCUGACCUGUAGAGCUGUAACAUAAUACAUUUGGGUUGUUUUCAACCACUAAGUUUGUGGUAAUUUGUUGUAGCAGCUGUAGAAAAUGAAUACAUAUGAAUCCUCUGGCAUUUGUUUGAGAUUUGCUCUAUGGCCUAGUAUGUGGUUGUAAAUGUUCCAUCUGUGCCUGAAAAAAUGUAUAUUUCUAAUUCAGUAGUCUCUGCUUUUUUUUUUUAUUUUGUACCCCAUCAAUAAAAUGAUUUUCAGCAUGUAUCCCCAAAUAAACAAUAUUUUAUUUAUUGAUUGAUUGAUAAACAGACAUGUUUAAUGAUAGCUUGCUUUUCACAGAGGUGACUUCGGAGACUUCUAAUCUAUAAUCCAGGAGUAUAUAACCAUGCAGCACAGACCAAUUAGUCACAUGUAAAAUAAACUAGAUUCUUACCA